GUGGUUAAGAGUGCCGACUGCUCUUCCAA
rnacentral:piRNA from 1 species